UACGGGGGGAGCAAGCGUUAAUCGGAAUUACUGGGCGUAAAGGGUGCGUAGGCGGUUGUUUAAGUCUGUCGUGAAAUCCCCGGGCUCAACCUGGGAAUGGCGAUGGAUACUGGCGAGCUAGAGUGUGUCAGAGGAUGGUGGAAUUCCCGGUGUAGCGGUGAAAUGCGUAGAGAUCGGGAGGAACAUCAGUGGCGAAGGCGGCCAUCUGGGACAACACUGACGCUGAAGCACGAAAGCGUGGGGAGCAAACAGG
rnacentral:rRNA from 1 species